CUCUCACUCUUCUAACCCCCACCAGUUUAGGUCCACUGGAAAGGCCACCUGAGCAGGCUCGGUGGGUCCUGCAGACUUGCAGCACAGGGUCCUCUCUUUCUCCCUUUAAAGAUAGGAUAAUCGACGGGCAUGGUGGCACACACUUUUGGUCCCAGCACUCUGGAGGCUGAAGCUGAGGAUCUAAGAAUGCUCAUAUUCAUAAGGCAGAGAGGACCCCCAACUCAAGACGCAGUACAGAAGUUGCAGUGGUUAACGUAGAAAUCGGAACUGUGUAAAGUGCAAAGACUGAGCGUCAGUGGAGUGAGUGCCCAGGCACAGAUCCGUCCUCUCUAUGGCACACACUCCCACGAGGCUUCGGGACCACAGCACACAGUGGAAGAGCGGAGGGAAAGAUUGUAAGCCAGAUGUCGGGAAAAACUGGAGUGACAUCGUCUUCCAGAUAUGGAAUAUGGUAGAAUCACCGUGCUCAUGAGCUCACAGUGCCCCGUAGUUGCCUUCACAAGACCUGUACAAGACCCAGCCUGUCAAUAAUUCCUGCAUGGAAUUUAAGGCAUUCAUGAGCCCCCGCCCCUAACUGAGGAGCUGUGGACAGUUAAUAGCUUAUGUGUGUGUGUGUGGGGGGGGGUUCUUUAAGGGUGUGGUUUCCCAGUUGGUUGACCAUGCUCCAGUGGGUAGCCCCACACCCAGAAGUAUGUGGGCAGCACAAAUUGGACCCCAUGGAUUAUUUAAAAACCACAGAAGACAGGGAGUAUAUGGGUUAACCUGAGAGGGGUAGGGAGAAGAGUGGAAAGUGGAUAUGACCAAAAUAUUCUGUAUAAAACUGUCAAGGAAUUAAUUAUAUAUCUAUAUCCCUGUAUAAAGGAAUCUUUAUCUAUAUCCAUGUCCAUGUCCAUAUCUAUAUAAAGGAAUAGUCCAGGUGGAGGAGGUGGCUCCUUGCUUAAGCUUGCACUGCAGUCGCCCCAGGCCGUUCACAAUUGCCUGUGACUUCAGCUACAGAGGAUUUGACAUCCUCUUCUGCUCUCUCUGUGGGCAUUUACAUGCAUGUACACACACAGAGACACACAUGUAUGUACUCAUUUUUAAAAACAUUUUUAAAAGGAAUCAUCUGAAUUAUAAGCCUUGAGAAGGUAAGGGCCACCAUGUUCACGUAAUCCCAGAUAUAUCAAUAACAUGAUCAAUCAAAAGUUGUUUAAUAG
rnacentral:lncRNA from 1 species